rnacentral:lncRNA from 1 species
AAUGACGCUCUCAAAUAGAAUUCGUUGUGAGAAGUAAUUGUUAAUGACAAAAUCAAGUUAUUGUUAUUAUUCUACUUCUAAUGAAGCAUUUUCCAGGCAUUCUCCAUACAUUAACUAAGUUGAUAUCUACAUAUAGUAGUAGUUUGAGAGCAUUUUCUAGCAUCAUCCUUGCUACAAGCCUACAACCAGACCUUCUAAAAACUAGUUUCUACAACACCUGAUUUAGUCUCUAGCAUUUGGUUGUGCCAACUGUAAUAGUUUGCUAAGACUAGUAAAAUCAGAGACAAGCUUCUCUGAUUUGUAUAUAAGCCAAGCCUCAGUGAUUGAAAACAAAAACUCAGAAUCAUGAUAUAACUAUUCAGAUUCUCUCUAAAGUCUAAACUUUCUCUCUUUACUUCUCUUCAACGAUAAGAACCUUAGGCCACGAACAAGGUGAUAAAAUAAGUUGAUACAGGAGAUUGAAAUCAGUAACCUACAUGAGAAAUACUUGCACCAUUAUAACACAAAGACGAGGAAAGUAUACUAAAACCCUUUUAGAAAUCACAUUCAGAGUGAUGAUCUAAGUUAAAAGUAGAAAAGGUUGCCUACAGGCUACACAACACUUUCAUGAACCAAAAACUACAUUGGCAUAUGCCCAACUCCAAUCAAUUUAAGCAUGAUGUGUUGAGGAUAUCCUUUCUGAAACUCCUCUGCCACACUCUGAGAAGUACUUGGAAGUGCUAUGAUUCAUAAAGCAUAAAGACAACCAGUGUGAAUUUGUUAACAUGGCAUCAACUAAAACCAAUAAAAUGUUAACAAAUCCACCAGUUGAGGUUGUGGGAGGUUGUCUUCUGUUAGUACUUUUCCGUGUUGAUUUCUUAUGUAACCUUAAUUAUGUUUUAAACUGGAUCAUGAUUCAAAUAAUUGAGAAUAAAGUUCAGUUGAAGAUCUUGAGCAUAAUUGUAUUCACACAUGAAAUUAUUAUGCGCGUUUCAAAGAUACUUGCAAUUCAUUCAUCUUGAAAUACAAGUCCACAGAAUUAAUUAGCUGUAAGAUUAACCUAAUCAAAAUAACACGAUCAACGGUGUUCCUUUCAUAUUGUAAUUUUUUAAUAGCUUAUCCUUUCUCGCGGAUCGAUGACUAAUCUCCCAUUUUUUAACGGAUUGUAUAAUGGAAAUUUCUUAUCCGCA